UUACAAAAAACACGAUUUGAUUGUAAAAUAAAAUACUGUAUAUUAGCCGCGUGUGUAAUUCUAAAACAAGUGCAUUAAGACUAAAAUAAUGACUACGCUGCGUCCGUUUACCUGUGAUGACCUAUUUAAAUUUAAUAAUGUAAAUUUUGACCCGCUUACGGAGACAUACGGUUUGUCCUUCUAUACGCAAUAUCUGGCCAAAUGGCCGGAAUACUUUCAAUUGGCGGAGUCGCCCAGCGAGCAUAUAAUGGGAUACAUCAUGGGCAAAGUUGAGGGUCACCUGGAUAAUUGGCAUGGCCAUGUGACGGCUCUGACAGUCUCGCCCGAUUAUAGGCGAUUGGGACUAGCGGCGCUACUGAUGAAUUUCUUGGAAGAUAUAUCGGAAAAAAAACGCGCUUAUUUUGUGGAUCUGUUUGUGCGCAAGAGCAAUAAGGUGGCAAUCAAUAUGUACACGAAUCUGGGCUAUAUUAUAUAUCGUACCAUUCUCGAGUACUACUCCGGAGAUCAGGACGAGGAUGCGUAUGAUAUGAGAAAGGCGCUCUCGCGAGACGUGAACAAGAAAUCGGUUAUACCGUACACGCAACCUGUACGAUUGGAAGAUAUAGAUAUGAAUUGAUAUCAACCCAAUACUGCCCGCAUUCGCAUUUAUGUCUAACUCUGAACAUCAUGAUAAUACAUCAAUUAUUUUACCAUUCAAGAUUUGCAUUGGCUCUCAGCCCCCAACAAAAUUCUAGUUAUUAAACUGAUUUUGUAUCUAAUCCAGUUUGCUCUUACUUAGUUCCCAACAAAUUCCCAUUACCGAACCCAAUACAAUUUCUAACUCGAAAAACCGCCAGUUAAAGCCCAGAUUAAACCCAAGUUGGAUUACAUAUCAAAUUUCGUUGUUGUAAUCCGUCGUUAUUCUGUCGAUAAUAUUUUAUACUUAUCUAGAAUAUAUAGUAUCUACAUGAUUUUGUUAUCAGUUAAAGAGUUCUUAAGCCGACUGUAAAAAUUACAAAAGAAUGUUCACUGACUUUAUAAAGAUAACUAUGCGCGAACUGCGACACCAAAUGAGGCACGAAGGCUAGUCCAGAUGUAUAUAUAGCUUGGAUAUCAAAGGAUUACCAUACUAUUUAUUUAUAACCACAAUAUUUAAAAAUUUUUUUAUUUCUUUUAUUACAACAAUAGAUAUUUCUCGGCUGAAAAUGUUUUAUCCGAUUUUUCAGAACUGUUUCAACUUUCAAGUGUUACAUAAAAUAAAGAGUUUCUUAAACA